UCUCGUGGUUAUUGAGAAAAGGAUCCAAAUGUGAAGCAAGUUUUGCUCCAAUGGUUCAAAACCAGAAGAAAAUACACCAGAACCAGAACUGUCCUCAUAUGGUUGGAUGCCUGUUACAAUACGAACACAAACCCAAAAGGGUCUUUCUCUGCCCUUGGCUGCCCUGGUGCUGUUUAAAUCCACCAAGUUUUCCCUCUCUGAGUAGGACUGCAUGGAGAAUCCUUCAUCUGGCUUCCCUGUGCUUCCCUGCUGCUUCUCAGGCAUGUGCCAAGCUUUUCUUCCCUGCCCCUGGAAGGCUCUCUGUGCUGCUGGACACAUGGCAAAAAGCAAAUUCAUUUACUGCUGCAGAUGGGACAGCUGCAAUCCAAGGUGGAUGGAGAGUGACUCCAGGCUGGGGUGAUCUCAAUAGAUCUCUACUGCCAUCUUAGCCACCCCCCACAUCUUUACAAGACCACCUUUUUCCUCUUUUGCAGUCACAUCUUUGCAGCUGGGAUGCCUCUUACAUAAGGUAUUUGAG